UACGAAGGGGGCUAGCGUUGCUCGGAAUCACUGGGCGUAAAGGGUGCGUAGGCGGGUCUUUAAGUCAGGGGUGAAAUCCUGGAGCUCAACUCCAGAACUGCCUUUGAUACUGAAGAUCUUGAGUUCGGGAGAGGUGAGUGGAACUGCGAGUGUAGAGGUGAAAUUCGUAGAUAUUCGCAAGAACACCAGUGGCGAAGGCGGCUCACUGGCCCGAUACUGACGCUGAGACACGAAAGCGUGGGUAGCAAACAGG
rnacentral:rRNA from 1 species